rnacentral:rRNA from 1 species
AAUCCAUAGGUUAAUGAGGCGAACCGGGGGAACUGAAACAUCUAAGUACCCCGAGGAAAAGAAAUCAACCGAGAUUCCCCCAGUAGCGGCGAGCGAACGGGGAGGAGCCCAGAGCCUGAAUCAGCAUGUGUGUUAGUGGAAGCGUCUGGAAAGGCGCGCGAUACAGGGUGACAGCCCCGUACACAAAAGCGCAUGUGCUGUGAGCUCGAUGAGUAGGGCGGGACACGUGGUAUCCUGUCUGAAUAUGGGGGGACCAUCCUCCAAGGCUAAAUACUCCUGACUGACCGAUAGUGAACCAGUACCGUGAGGGAAAGGCGAAAAGAACCCCGGCGAGGGGAGUGAAAAAGAACCUGAAACCGUGUACGUACAAGCAGUGGGAGCCCCACCACCAAAGCGUUUCGCUUUGUGUGGUGCACAAAGAAGCGUAACGACAGCACUGAAUGACGGUUAACGGAGCGCAAGCGACGUUCAACAUACAAAGUCAAGCAGUGGAGCGCUUUGGGGUGGGGUGACUGCGUACCUUUUGUAUAAUGGGUCAGCGACUUAUAUUCUGUAGCAAGGUUAACCGAAUAGGGGAGCCGGAGGGAAACCGAGUCUUAACCGGGCGUUAAGUUGCAGGGUAUAGACCCGAAACCCGGUGAUCUAGCCAUGGGCAGGUUGAAGGUUGGGUAACACUAACUGGAGGACCGAACCGACUAAUGUUGAAAAAUUAGCGGAUGACCUGUGGCUGGGGGUGAAAGGCCAAUCAAACCGGGAGAUAGCUGGUUCUCCCCGAAAGCUAUUUAGGUAGCGCCUCGUGAAUUCAUCUCCGGGGGUAGAGCACUGUUUCGGCUAGGGGGCCAUCCCGGCUUACCAACCCGAUGCAAACUGCGAAUACCGGAGAAUGUUAUCACGGGAGACACACGGCGGGUGCUAACGUCCGUCGUGAAGAGGGAAACAACCCAGACCGCCAGCUAAGGUCCCAAAGUCAUGGUUAAGUGGGAAACGAUGUGGGAAGGCCCAGACAGCCAGGAUGUUGGCUUAGAAGCAGCCAUCAUUUAAAGAAAGCGUAAUAGCUCACUGGUCGAGUCGGCCUGCGCGGAAGAUGUAACGGGGCUAAACCAUGCACCGAAGCUGCGGCAGCGACGCUUAUGCGUUGUUGGGUAGGGGAGCGUUCUGUAAGCCUGUGAAGGUGGCCUGUGAGGGUUGCUGGAGGUAUCAGAAGUGCGAAUGCUGACAUAAGUAACGAUAAAGCGGGUGAAAAGCCCGCUCGCCGGAAGACCAAGGGUUCCUGUCCAACGUUAAUCGGGGCAGGGUGAGUCGACCCCUAAGGCGAGGCCGAAAGGCGUAGUCGAUGGGAAACGGGUUAAUAUUCCCGUACUUGGUGUUACUGCGAAGGGGGGACGGAGAAGGCUAUGUUGGCCGGGCGACGGUUGUCCCGGUUUAAGCGUGUAGGUGUGUGUUCCAGGUAAAUCCGGUUCACUUUAACACUGAGGCGUGACGACGAGGCACUACGGUGCUGAAGCAACAAAUGCCCUGCUUCCAGGAAAAGCCUCUAAGCAUCAGGUAACAUCAAAUCGUACCCCAAACCGACACAGGUGGUCAGGUAGAGAAUACCAAGGCGCUUGAGAGAACUCGGGUGAAGGAACUAGGCAAAAUGGUGCCGUAACUUCGGGAGAAGGCACGCUGACACGUAGGUGAAGUGAUUUACUCAUGGAGCUGAAGUCAGUCGAAGAUACCAGCUGGCUGCAACUGUUUAUUAAAAACACAGCACUGUGCAAACACGAAAGUGGACGUAUACGGUGUGACGCCUGCCCGGUGCCGGAAGGUUAAUUGAUGGGGUCAGCGCAAGCGAAGCUCCUGAUCGAAGCCCCGGUAAACGGCGGCCGUAACUAUAACGGUCCUAAGGUAGCGAAAUUCCUUGUCGGGUAAGUUCCGACCUGCACGAAUGGCGUAAUGAUGGCCAGGCUGUCUCCACCCGAGACUCAGUGAAAUUGAACUCGCUGUGAAGAUGCAGUGUACCCGCGGCAAGACGGAAAGACCCCGUGAACCUUUACUAUAGCUUGACACUGAACAUUGAGCCUUGAUGUGUAGGAUAGGUGGGAGGCUUUGAAGUGUGGACGCCAGUCUGCAUGGAGCCGACCUUGAAAUACCACCCUUUAAUGUUUGAUGUUCUAACGUGGACCCGUUACCCGGGUUGCGGACAGUGUCUGGUGGGUAGUUUGACUGGGGCGGUCUCCUCCUAAAGAGUAACGGAGGAGCACGAAGGUUGGCUAAUCCUGGUCGGACAUCAGGAGGUUAGUGCAAUGGCAUAAGCCAGCUUGACUGCGAGCGUGACGGCGCGAGCAGGUGCGAAAGCAGGUCAUAGUGAUCCGGUGGUUCUGAAUGGAAGGGCCAUCGCUCAACGGAUAAAAGGUACUCCGGGGAUAACAGGCUGAUACCGCCCAAGAGUUCAUAUCGACGGCGGUGUUUGGCACCUCGAUGUCGGCUCAUCACAUCCUGGGGCUGAAGUAGGUCCCAAGGGUAUGGCUGUUCGCCAUUUAAAGUGGUACGCGAGCUGGGUUUAGAACGUCGUGAGACAGUUCGGUCCCUAUCUGCCGUGGGCGCUGGAGAACUGAGGGGGGCUGCUCCUAGUACGAGAGGACCGGAGUGGACGCAUCACUGGUGUUCGGGUUGUCAUGCCAAUGGCACUGCCCGGUAGCUAAAUGCGGAAGAGA